GAUGAACGCUGGCGGCGUGCCUAAUACAUGCCAGUCGAGCGAACAGACGAGGAGCUUGCUCCUCUGACGUUAGCGGCGGACGGGUGAGUACACGUGGAUAACCUACCUAUAAGACUGGGAUAACUUCGGGAAACCGGAGCUAAUACCGGAUAACAUGUUGAACCGCAUGGUUCAACAGUGAAAGACGGUUUUGCUGUCACUUAUAGAUGGAUCCGCGUCGCAUUAGCUAGUUGGUAAGGUAACGGCUUACCAAGGCAACGAUGCGUAGCCGACCUGAGAGGGUGAUCGGCCACACUGGAACUGAGACACGGUCCAGACUCCUACGGGAGGCAGCAGUAGGGAAUCUUCCGCAAUGGGCGAAAGCCUGACGGAGCAACGCCGCGUGAGUGAAGAAGGUCUUCGGAUCGUAAAACUCUGUUAUUAGGGAAGAACAAAUGUGUAAGUAACUAUGCACGUCUUGACGGUACCUAAUCAGAAAGCCACGGCUAACUACGUG
rnacentral:rRNA from 1 species